GACGAACGCUGGCGGCGUGCUUAACACAUGCAAGUCGAACGGAAAGGCCCUGCUUGUGUGGGGUGCGCGGGUGACGAACGGGUGAGUAACAGGUGAGUAGCCUGCCCUUGACUUUGGGAUAACUUCAGGAAACGGGGGCUAAUACCGGAUAGGAGCUCCUGCUGCAUUGUUGGGGUUGAAAAGUUUCGGCGGUUGGGGAUGGACUGGCGGCUUAUCAGGUUGUUGGUGGGGUAGUGUAUUACCAAGACUUGGACGGGUAGGCGGCCUGAGAGGGUGACCGGACAGAUUGGAAUGGAGAUAGGGACCAGACACAUACGGGAGGGAGGAGUGGGGAAGAUAGUAUAAUGGAAGGAAGGCUGCUGCAGUAACGCAGCGUGCGGGAUGACGGCAUUCGGUUUGUAAACUGAUUUCGGUUGUUACGAAGAGAGAGUGACGGUACCGGGUAAAGAAGCACCGGCUAACUACGUG
rnacentral:rRNA from 1 species